GGUGGCUUAGUCUAGUGGUUAGGACAAUACGUUGUGGCCGUAUUAGCCCCGGUUCGAUUCCGGGAGCCACCA